rnacentral:rRNA from 1 species
AUUGAACGCUAGCGGUAUGCUUAACACAUGCAAGUCGAACGGCAGCACGAGGAGCUUGCUCCUUGGUGGCGAGUGGCGGACGGGUGAGUAAUGCGUAGGAAUCUACCUUAUAGUGGGGGAUAACCCGGGGAAACUCGGGCUAAUACCGCAUAAUCUCUAAGGAGCAAAGCAGGGGACCUUCGGGCCUUGCGCUGUAAGAUGAGCCUACGUCGGAUUAGCUAGUCGGUAGGGUAAUGGCCUACCAAGGCGACGAUCCGUAGCUGGUCUGAGAGGACGAUCAGCCACACUGGGACUGAGACACGGCACAGACUCCUACGGGAGGCAGCAGUGGGGAAUAUUGGACAAUGGGGGAAACCCUGAUCCAGCAAUACCGCGUGUGUGAAGAAGGCCUUCGGGUUGUAAAGCACUUUCAGCGGGGAAGAAAAAGCCAAGAAUAAUACUCUUGGAAAUUGACGUUACCCGAAGAAGAAGCACCGGCUAACUCUGUGCCAGCAGCCGCCGUAA